rnacentral:rRNA from 1 species
UAACGAUUUGGGCACUGUCUCAACGAGAGACUCGGUGAAAUCAUAGUACCUGUGAAGAUGCAGGUUACCCGCGACAGGACGGAAAGACCCCGUGGAGCUUUACUGUAGCCUGAUAUUGAAAUUCGGCACAGCUUGUACAGGAUAGGUAGGAGCCUUUGAAACGUGAGCGCUAGCUUACGUGGAGGCGCUGGUGGGAUACUACCCUAGCUGUGUUGGCUUUCUAACCCGCACCACUUAUCGUGGUGGGAGACAGUGUCAGGCGGGCAGUUUGACUGGGGCGGUCGCCUCCUAAAAGGUAACGGAGGCGCUCAAAGGUUCCCUCAGAAUGGUUGGAAAUCAUUCAUAGAGUGUAAAGGCAUAAGGGAGCUUGACUGCGAGACCUACAAGUCGAGCAGGGUCGAAAGACGGACUUAGUGAUCCGGUGGUUCCGCAUGGAAGGGCCAUCGCUCAACGGAUAAAAGCUACCCCGGGGAUAACAGGCUUAUCUCCCCCAAGAGUUCACAUCGACGGGGAGGUUUGGCACCUCGAUGUCGGCUCAUCGCAUCCUGGGGCUGUAGUCGGUCCCAAGGGUUGGGCUGUUCGCCCAUUAAAGCGGUACGCGAGCUGGGUUCAGAACGUCGUGAGACAGUUCGGUCCCUAUCCGUCGUGGGCGUAGGAAAUUUGAGAGGAGCUGUCCUUAGUACGAGAGGACCGGGAUGGACAUACCUCUGGUGUACCAGUUGUCGUGCCAACGGCAUAGCUGGGUAGCUAUGUGUGGACGGGAUAAGUGCUGAAAGCAUCUAAGCAUGAAGCCCCCCUCAAGAUGAGAUUUCCCAACUUCGGUUAUAAGAUCCCUCAAAGAUGAUGAGGUUAAUAGGUUCGAGGUGGAAGCAUGGUGA